GCUAGGCAUGGUGGCACAUGCCUGUAAUCCCAGCUACUAGGGAGGCUGAGGCAGGAGGAUCACUUGAGCCCAGGAGGUCUAGGCUGCAGUGAGCUAUGAUUGCACCACUGCACUCCAGCCUGGGCGACAGAGUGAGACCCUGUCUCAA
rnacentral:SRP_RNA from 1 species